rnacentral:rRNA from 1 species
GAUGAACGCUAGCGACAGGCUUAACACAUGCAAGUCGAGGGGCAGCGGGGAGGUAGCAAUACUUCCGCCGGCGACCGGCGCACGGGUGAGUAACACGUAUGGAACCUGCCCGUAGCAGGGGGAUAAGCGGAAGAAAUUCCGUCUAAUACCGCGUAAUAACUCCGAGGGGCAUCCCUUGGGGUUUAAAGGGUAACACCGGCUACGGAUGGCCAUGCGGCGCAUUAGCUAGUUGGCGGGGCAACGGCCCACCAAGGCGACGAUGCGUAGGGGUUCUGAGAGGAAGGUCCCCCACACUGGUACUGAGACACGGACCAGACUCCUACGGGAGGCAGCAGUGAGGAAUAUUGGUCAAUGGGCGCGAGCCUGAACCAGCCAAGUCGCGUGAGGGAAGACGGUCCUAUGGAUUGUAAACCUCUUUUGUCGGGGAGCAAAAGACGCCACGCGUGGCGUUCCGAGAGUACCCGAAGAAAAAGCAUCGGCUAACUCCGUGCCAGCAGCCGCGGUAAUACGGAGGAUGCGAGCGUUAUCCGGAUUUAUUGGGUUUAAAGGGUGCGCAGGCGGAAGAUCAAGUCAGCGGUAAAAUUGAGGGGCUCAACCUCUUCGAGCCGUUGAAACUGGUUUUCUUGAGUGAGCGAGAAGUAUGCGGAAUGCGUGGUGUAGCGGUGAAAUGCAUAGAUAUCACGCAGAACUCCGAUUGCGAAGGCAGCAUACCGGCGCUCAACUGACGCUCAUGCACGAAAGUGUGGGUAUCGAACAGGAUUAGAUACCCUGGUAGUCCACACAGUAAACGAUGAAUACUAAUUGUUCGGGGAGAAUGAUCCCUGAGUGAUACAGCGAAAGCGUUAAGUAUUCCACCUGGGGAGUACGCCGGCAACGGUGAAACUCAAAGGAAUUGACGGGGGCCCGCACAAGCGGAGGAACAUGUGGUUUAAUUCGAUGAUACGCGAGGAGCCUUACCCGGGCUCAAACGACACAGGAAUACUUUUGAAAGGAGGUAGCUCUACGGAGCCUGUGUCGAGGUGCUGCAUGGUUGUCGUCAGCUCGUGCCGUGAGGUGUCGGCUUAAGUGCCAUAACGAGCGCAACCCCCAUCGCCAGUUACCAGCAAGUCAAGUUGGGGACUCUGGCGAGACUGCCGGCGCAAGCUGUGAGGAAGGCGGGGAUGACGUCAAAUCAGCACGGCCCUUACGUCCGGGGCGACACACGUGUUACAAUGGCAGGUACAGAGAGAAGCAAUGCGGCGACGCAAAGCGGAACUUGAAAGCCUGUCUCAGUUCGGAUUGGAGUCUGCAACUCGACUCCAUGAAGCUGGAUUCGCUAGUAAUCGCGCAUCAGCCAUGGCGCGGUGAAUACGUUCCCGGGCCUUGUACACACCGCCCGUCAAGCCAUGGAAGCCGGGAGUGCCUGAAGUGUGCAACCGCAAGGAGCGCCCUAAGGUAAAACUGGUGACUGGGGCUAAGUCGUAACAAGGUAACC